rnacentral:lncRNA from 1 species
AGACAUGAGGAUCAUCAAAUUUGUGGAAAAUUGCACUACAUCAAUGAUAUGAGAGUCAGCAAAAUAAUUACAGAUAUAGGAUCGGAGACCGAAAGCUGCCUUUUGCUGACUCUUGUAUCAGUAGCAUGGAUGCAGAGCAAUCUUCCACAAAUUCAUGAUCCUCAUGGUUGAUUAAUGCUACAGAUAUAGAUGAAACUGAUAUGUCAUCUGGAGAUAUGAAUAUAAGUCAGCUUUCUUCUAUAAAAUUUCAUAGUCUCUCCUGAGACCGAGCAAAUUGCAGCAAACUCAGCAGGAGGAGGAAGAAGAAGAAGAAGAAGAAGAAGAAGAAGAAGAAGAAGAAGAAAGAUGUGCUGGAGGCUGCUUACAUCCUCUUUGGUCCUCGCAUUGCUUAGCUUCUCCGCGAUCGGAUCCAAUCUGACUCGUCUACCGGAUGAUGAGGGUACAACGAGCUCCUCUUACUCCCAUCCUUUUUUCUAUCUACUCU